GACAGAUCAUAUGAUCAGCUCAGUACUUAUAUGACCCCCGGACCACCCGGUUGGGGAAUGCUAGGAUGUGCUACCCCGACAGCAAGAUGCAGACUGGGUCAAUAUGACUUUUACGCUUGUCCCAAAGAGGGAAGAGACCGAUCCCAAACAUAUAAAUGUGGAGGUUAUGAAACAUACUUUUGCUCCUCCUGGGGCUGCGAAACUACAGGGGACGCUUACUGGAAACCUUCUUCUGACAAGGAAUUCAUAAAAAUACUUAAAAACUUCACUACCUAUGGCACAGGUCCCUCUGAUUGCUAUCACCCCCCUAAAUCUUACUACCAAGGGGACAAAUCAUUGCCCUUACGGAUACAGUUCACAGAAAGAGGAAAAAAACAACUAGAUCCCUGGCUCACUGGGAGAACAUGGGGCCUUAGAUGGUAUAUGUUAGGAUAUGAUCUCGGUGUAAUUCUCAAAAUCAGACUAUCUCAAACCCCGAUUAUGAUGAGCCCAAUAGGGCCCAAUCCUGUUCUUGGGGACCAAAGAGCUCCCUCAGUUCCCAGACAAUCAAAAAGUCCACCCAAAGUACCCCCCAGUAAGCCGCCCGUGCCUCAAAUUGUAACCAUAGACUAUCAAACCUCUAGUUAUUCCCCCGAACCCACCUUCCCUGGGACCGAGGACCGAUUGUUAGAUUUGAUUCGAGGAGCCUUUUAUGCCCUCAAUGCCACUGACCCAGACCGCACCCGGGAUUGUUGGCUCUGUCUCGCCUCCGGCCCACCCUAUUAUGAAGGAAUAGCAAUAAUGUCUGACUGGAAUAGUAAUAUAAACCCUGAUCCUAAGUGUGUGUCCCUGCCCAGCUAUAAGCUCACCAUCACUGAAGUUUCAGGGCAAGGGAUCUGUGUAGGAAACAUACCCCUGUCACAUAAACCUCUCUCUAAUACUACCCUCCCGACAAAUGGCUCACAAAAUAAUUAUUUGUGGGGCCCCCCCGGAACUUAUUGGGCCUGCAGCAUUGGACUGACCCCCUGUAUUUCCACGGCAGUCCUCAAUGCCUCCACUGAUUUUUGUGUGCUAAUACAACUAUGGCCUAAAAUAUUAUAUCUGGGAUCAGACUAUGUCCUAGGACACCUUGAAGGAUGGAAUCGGUACCCCAGAGAGCCCAUAAGCAUGACUAUAGCACUACUAUUAGGAAUUGGAGGGAUAGCAGCAGGCAUAGGAACAGGGACAACUGCCUAUAUCCAAGGUAACCAAAUGUUGCAAUUACAGGCAGCAAUGAAUGAAGAUUUAACUGCAAUGGCCAAGUCUAUCACUGCCCUAGAAAAAUCCCUCUCUUCCCUCUCCGAAGUGGUGUUACAAAAUAGAAGAGGAUUAGAUCUAUUGUUCCUCAGGGAAGGUGGUCUCUGUGUAGCACUAGGAGAACAAUGUUGCUUUUAUGCUGACCAUACUGGGGUAGUCCGAGAAACUAUGGAAAAGGUUACUGAAAGGCUGGCAAAGAGACAGAAAGAAUUUGAGGCUCAACAAGGAUGGUUUGAACAUUGGUUUAACAAAUCCCCAUGGUUAACUACUUUGCUAUCCACCAUAGCAGGACCUUUAAUUAUUUUGCUGAUAAUCCUGACGUUUGGACCCUGCAUACUCAAUAGAUUGGUGCAGUUUAUGAAAGAAAGACUUUCUGUAAUCCAGGCUAUGGUUCUAACUCAACAAUACCANAAUAGGGUUAGACUUAAUU
rnacentral:lncRNA from 1 species